UUUUGUUUAAAUGUUUUUUCGCCUAAGGAUGGGUCUGCGGCCGAUUAGGUAGUUGGUUAGGUAAUGGCUUACCAAGCCAUUGAUCGGUACGGGUUGUGAGAGCAAGAGCCCGGAGAUGGAACCUGAGACAAGGUUCCAGGCCCUACGGGGUGCAGCAGGCGCGAAACCUCCGCAAUGUGAGAAAUCGCGACGGGGGGAUCCCAAGUGCCAUUCUUAACGGGAUGGCUUUUCAUUAGUGUACAGAGCUUUUGGAAUAAGAGCUGGGCAAGACCGGUGCCAGCCGCCGCGGUAACACCGGCAGCUCUAGUGGUAACAAUUUUUAUUGGGCCUAAAGCGUCCGUAGCCGGUUUAAUAAGUCUCUGGUGAAAUCCUGUAGCUUAACUGUGGGAAUUGCUGGAGAUACUAUUAGACUUGGGACCGGGAGAGGUUAGAGGUACUCCCAGGGUAGAGGUGAAAUUCUGUAAUCCUGGGAGGACCGCCUGUUGCGAAGGCGUCUAACUGGAACGGUUCUGACGGUGAGGGACGAAAGUUAGGGGCGCGAACCGGAUUAGAUACCCGGGUAGUCCUAACUGUAAACGAUGCGGACUUGGUGUUGGGGUGGCUUUGAGCUGCUCCAGUGCCGAAGGGAAGCUGUUAAGUCCGCCGCCUGGGAAGUACGGUCGCAAGACUGAAACUUAA
rnacentral:rRNA from 1 species